UUUUAUUAUUAUUUUAUUUUUUAUUUUUUUAUUACAUUUAUUUGUUUACUUUUUAGUUCUAUUUCCCAAUACUUAUCCAGACCUGGUACUCAAAUUGCUCAAAUCAAAUUCUAUGCUUUAUCAAACUGCAUAGGAACAUACAACAUAACAGUUUAUUCACUGGUUAUUUGUCUAUGGUUCGUUACGUUACUUACAGAUUUCUGCUAGUUCUAAAUAUAGAUAAACAUACAGAUGAAUAGAAGGUAAAAUUUAUUUAAAUGCAUCAGCAAAAGAACGAUUUUAAGAAUUUGUCCUACCAGUCUGUGCCUCGUCUCAAUAGUGAAGCUGUGGGUUGAAGUUACAGAAAUGCAUACUAUUACUUUAAGUUUCCAAGCGAUUUGUUGAUAAAUCGCAGAACAGCGAUGACAAUAAGUUCCGAGUUUCAUAGUGAUUCAGCGUGCGAACUGAACGUGAUAUAUGAGCCACUGUUUGCGUGUUUAACCGCAAGGAAGCGGCACAGUAAUUUAUAACGGCAAGUCACAGAAACAAUCCCCCGAUCAACAUUGAUCCAGAUGGAAUGACUGAAAAUUCAGGAAAGACGACGAGAAGGAUUUAAACUGUGCUUCUUGCGGGGUUGAGCCGAUGGAGUGGAGAGUGUGAGCCGGCUGGGAACUGGAUCUGCGCUGCGGCGCGGCUCCGGGUUUACUGAAGGCCUGCUGCGGCGGCCUGGCGCUGGAAGAAGGCCCGUUCCGUCGCGGGAAGAGGCGGCAUUGCCCGAGACUCGAGCUUGGUGCUCGGCUGCCUUAUUGUCAUUUUUCUGUGACAGUAAUGAUUGAAUGGGCUAGAGUAGGGAAAUACACAGAAGGAUAUCGCGGAUGAUUCGGACGUGGUGACAGGCCUCGGCGUUUUGGCAUGCAGGGACCCGUUUGUUUGGGCUGACGCCCCUCCGAAAUAAUGCCGUUGGAUUGGAGAAAAAUUGUUCUUAAGGCCAGAGGAUUGUGGCAAAGAUUCCUCGAGGAUGAAAGAUUCUUCAUCGGACGCGACUUCAGACAUGUUAGGAACUUAGGGCGGGACCAAAUGCUGGAAACUGUCGAGGAUCCUUGGGUGAGUUUGACUGUGAUUAUAUACAGGCCUGAACUCAUGCCGAUUGGGUAGAUACGUUGAUUACAGAUUGUUGACCGCUGGUUGAGAUGACGUAAUGAUUAAGAUUAUGAAAUGAUUGGGUAUCUUAUUUGACUUGUUCCUCCUGAACUACGUUUAUAAAACAUAAUUUAUGUGGAAAACACUUGCGACUCCAAAGGAGUGAAUGGCCAUAUAACAAGAAGAAGAAGAAGAAGAAAACACUUGCGAGGUCCGACGGUUAAGCAGAGCGGUUAAGAUAGGGGCUUGAAUAAUUAAUAAUCAAUAUAACCUGACGAAAAGAUAUUUAUUAAAUGUUAUCCACAUUAUAUUUCAUCUGCAACAGCAUUGUGAACUUUUAUAACGAUGCGUUUGGUCAUUAACUUUUAAAUGCAUCAUUAUGCAAAGAUGAGGAGAGUUCUCUGCAUGAAAGACCCAUGACUGGAAGAUCAACGUGCGACUACAUUUCUCUCCGAAACGCUUUUUAAUAUAGCACAGUGAAGGAGAGAGACAGGAUGCAGUGAUGUAGCAGAGGGAAACUAUCACAAAAAGACCAGCAGCCAGGACAUGAACUCUGGUCGCCUGCGGUACUGCUGCACCAUAUGUCACACCACAGCCUACAAGCUUAUGACUCUGACAUAUGUUUUUAUAGUACAUCAAAUUAUUAUUUUUUUUUUCCUCAUCAAAUUAGAUUUUUCAUUAUAUGAUCCUUUGUAUGGAAGCUUUUUUCAGAUAAUUUUAAAUAAUCAAAUAAUAAAAAUGUAUGCAAUGAAUGUGGCCUAAUAAUAAUAAUAAUAAUAAUAAUAAUUUUCACAGCACCAAUACAUCUUCCUUGUCAGAAAAAAAUAAAUUGUUGGUUUGAAUUUUCGCUACAGUGAAUUUUCUUAAAGAGACAGUUCACCCAAAAAUGAAAACUGUCAUCAUUUACUUUCCUUGACCCAUUUGAAGCUUUAGACAAAAUCAAUUCUCUCACAUGAUUGAUAAGCGUUGAUUAAGUUUUGAGCCUUGAAAAUCCUGUCAAGUCUCCUCUAUUUAUUAUGGCCAUUUAUGCAAUACAAUAAUUUCAAAGCACAUUCACAGUAAUAAACUAACAGAAAAUGUAAAUAACAGAAUCAAUGAUGCAAACUUCAAAAACAAGUCAAAUAUGUGAUCAAAUAUGAGACAAAUUCAAAUUCUGCUGUAAAGCAGCUCUACAGACAACAAUAGUGCCAUUAUUUAGCUCAAGUCAGUUUUAUGUUGAAUAAAUUCACUAGUGAUGGUGCAAAAUUGGUCAAUUAUGAAACAAAUUCAAUUGUCAGUUCAGUGUUGAUUCAGAUAACUGUGUAAAGUUCAUAAAUUAUGAAACGAGUUAAACCUAGCUAAGCAGCUCUACAGAAGACAAUAUUGUCUUUAUUCAGCUCAAAUCAGUUCAUUGUUGAUUCAGUUUAGUAGUGAUGUUGCAAAAUUGGUCAAUUAUGAAACAAAUUCAUUUGAGCUGUAAAGCAGCUCUACAGAAGACAACAGGAUCCUCAUCCAGCUGAAUUCAGUUUAAGUUUUGUUCUCAUCCUGUGACAGCCAGCAACAUCUGUGAAGAUGAGAGCACAUGUCAAUCAAUGAAACAAACAACUAAAGCCUUGAACAAUUUCUAUACUGAAAACUUUGCUUUGGAGGCUUUUUAUCCAGAGGAAUGGCAGAAAAUUCUAAAGGAGGUCAUAAUCUGUUGGAAUGGGAUCUUCAGUGGCCUCAUCCCACCUGUGAGCCGGAAUGCUGUAGGUCAAAUCCGUAGUUCAUUUUCACACUUCGCUUGAAUUGUUUUUCGUUGCUCUCCUCCUGCUAACCCUCACUGAAGCUGUACAAUUCACUCAGUAUUUGACAUUGCGUUUUUUUUUGCUCCCCUUUAUUUUGCUGCAAUCAUGAACUGCCCAUCCUCUCUCCUUUUUUUUUUUUUUUUUUUUUUCUCCCACAGGGAGUGUUUCUGUUUCGGAAAAUGGAUGGAACUCUCAGUAUUCUAUCUCUCCUAAUGUUAUAACUCACAUCCCACAUCAAUCCAUUCAUCCGUCCAUCCAUCCAUCACCUGUCAGCUCUUUUCAUUACCCGUCCUGUUCUUGCGGAAUAGAAAGCCGUUUCCACCACACUUUCCCAUAGAUAAGGGGGUGUGAGCCAGUUGACACAGAAACUGUUAUCAGAAGUCUUGCUUUUAUAUCGGGACCACCAGGGAUUCUCUAGCAUGGACAUGCCCUGGGUAACAUAACCAGCUAUUUUCCCCCUGCAGAGAUCUCUUUUUGCCUGCUGUUCACGGUUGUGCCGUCUAGUCACACAACAACUACAGUAUUGGAAUAUUUGAUUAAAGCCUUCUGUGCACUCUGAGGUUGAUCAGAUCAAUUUAAAACUCAUUACUGAUUUAAAUGCAAGGAGGGAGAGUGGAAAAAAUCAAAUGAGCCUGUGCUGUGAAAGCCGUGCAGUGAGAGCCAGAUAUGAAGACGCCGUUUAAGGGAAGAACAGAGACAGAGAGCCUAGGGCUGUCGCAGACAGGUGGGAUUUCUCAGGACACCUAUUUCAGUGAUAUCUGUCAGUUUGAGCAAGACUUCAGGGACUGAUGGGUGAUCGGUCAGGUUGAUGGUCAAUAAAUAGAAGAGUGAAGGGCCAGUAGGAGCACAGAUCAACCCUACUGCAGACCAGGGCCGGAACCACCACAGACAUUGAGGGGGACAAGUCCCACCCAAUAAUUAGAAAUGUCCCCCUGUUUUCUGUAGUGUGAACAACUUCAUUAAACAUUUGUAGUAUGCCUGCCAUCCAAUAACUGCAAAUAACUUUGCUUCAUAUGACAUGUAACAAAGCACAAAGUCUCAACUGUAAAAUUUUGUUGAUUUUAUUGCAAAAUUCAAACAAUAAAUGUGUAACAGAGGUUGUAACAGCCAAAACUGUGUGUUUACAUGCAUCACAUUAUGGUGUGCUGUGCCCUUUAAGAGACUGAUCACUUCCCUUAACACGCGCUAUGCGGUGAUGAUGUAGAAGAACUACGUGACUGUGAAAUGAGAACCAUGAUAGAUGUAUGUGCUCUUCAAUUUUUGUUACAGUAUUGCUUUAUUUUUAUUUGUAACGCUAAGAAAGAGUCAAUCUCUCAUGUAUGAGAGGAGCGCGUUCCUGUGUACCUGCCAUUAAACGAGUGUAAAUACAGACUUUUUCGCCUGCAAGCUCUUUCAUUCUAUUGAUUUAACUGGCGUUA